rnacentral:rRNA from 1 species
UACGGAGGGGGGCUAGCGUUGUUCGGAAUUACUGGGCGUAAAGCGCACGUAGGCGGCUUUGUAAGUUAGAGGUGAAAGCCCAGGGCUUAACCCUGGAAUUGCCUUUAAGACUGCAUCGCUCGAAUUGUGGAGAGGUGAGUGGAAUUCCGAGUGUAGAGGUGAAAUUCGUAGAUAUUCGGAAGAACACCAGUGGCGAAGGCGGCGAUCUGGGAAGAUACUGACGCUGAGGUGCGAAAGCGUGGGGAGCAAACAGG